UAGGGAAUCUUCCACAAUGGACGCAAGUCUGAUGGAGCAACGCCGCGUGAGUGAAGAAGGUCUUCGGAUCGUAAAGCUCUGUUGUUGGUGAAGAAGGAUAGAGGCAGUAACUGGUCUUUAUUUGACGGUAAUCAACCAGAAAGUCACGGCUAACUACGUGCCAGCAGCCGCGGUAAUACGUAGGUGGCAAGCGUUGUCCGGAUUUAUUGGGCGUAAAGCGAGCGCAGGCGGAAUGAUAAGUCUGAUGUGAAAGCCCACGGCUCAACCGUGGAACUGCAUCGGAAACUGUCAUUCUUGAGUGCAGAAGAGGAGAGUGGAACUCCAUGUGUAGCGGUGGAAUGCGUAGAUAUAUGGAAGAACACCAGUGGCGAAGGCGGCUCUCUGGUCUGCAAACUGACGCUGAGGCUCGAAAGCAUGGGUAGCGAACAGGAUUAGAUACCCUGGUAGUCCAUGCCGUAAAACGAUGAGCGCUAGGUGUUGGGGACUUUCCGGUUCUCAGUGCCGCAGCAAAACGCAUUAAGCGCUCCGCCUGGGGAGUACGACCGC
rnacentral:rRNA from 1 species